GAUGAACGCUGGCGGCGUGCCUAAUACAUGCAAGUCGAACGAAUCUUCUUCGGAAGAUGAGUGGCGAACGGGUGAGUAAUGCAUAGGUAACCUGCCCCUGUGCGGGGGAUAACAGGAAGAAACUCCUGCUAAUACCGCAUAGCCAUGAGCACCGCAUGGAGCUCAUGCCAAAUAUCCUUUCGGGGAUAGCGCAGGGCUGGACCUAUGGCGCAUUAGCUGGUUGGCGGGGCAACGGCCCACCAAGGCAACGAUGCGUAGCCGGCCUGAGAGGGCGGACGGCCACAUUGGGACUGAGACACGGCCCAGACUCCUACGGGAGGCAGCAGUAGGGAAUUUUCGGCAAUGGGGGAAACCCUGACCGAGCAACGCCGCGUGAGCGAAGAAGGCCUUCGGGUCGUAAAGCUCUGUUGUAAAGGAAGAACGGCGCAUACAGGAAAUGGUAUGCGAGUGACGGUACUUUACCAGAAAGCCACGGCUAACUACGUGCCAGCCGCCGCGGUAAAAC
rnacentral:rRNA from 1 species